AUGAAUCCAAUGAUUGUUGUUGCUUCUGUUAUCACUGUUGGGUUGGCAGUCAGGCUUGCUUCUAUUGGACCUGGGGUUGGUCAAGGCACAGCUGUAGGGCAAGCUGUAGAAGGGAUUGCGAGACAACCAUUUUACUCCUACAAUUUUUUCUUCAUUCAGAUUAACAUACUGAUUCGCCUUCUUCCGUCCCUUUAUUUAGUCCACUGA